rnacentral:rRNA from 1 species
CCUUUAGAUGUCCUGGGCCGCACGCGCGUUACACUGAUGCAUUCAACGAGCUUAUAACCUUGGCCGAGAGGCCUGGGCAAUCUUGUUAACGUGCAUCGUGAUAGGGAUAGAUUAUUGAAAUUAUUAAUCUUGAACGAGGAAUUCCUAGUAAACGCAGAUCAUCAAUCUGCAUUGAUUACGUCCCUGCCCUUUGUACACACCGCCCGUCGCACCUACCGAUUGGAUGGUCCGGUGAAGCCUCGGGAUUGUGGUUCUUGCCGCUUUAUUGUGGCGUGACCGCGAGAACUUGUCUAAACCUUAUCAUCUAGAGGAAGGUGAAGUCGUAACA